CCUUCCUGUUCCCCGCGUGUGUCCCCAGGUCCCUCCAGUCCUGCCUGACUCUGUGCGGCCUCAUGGACUGCUGCCCUCCAGGGACCUCUGUCCGUGGGAUGCUCCAGGCAGGAAUACUGGAGUGGGUUGCCAGCCUCCCUCCAGAGAAUAUUCCCCACCGGGGAUCGAACCGCACACCUGCAUGCUUUUCCUGGGGACUCCGUCCUCCUUGUGGGCCACAGGGCAUCUAAAGGUUUUGGGGGGGUCUCUGGCUGGUGGGGACUUUUCAUACUAUUCAUGGGGUUCUCAAGGCAAGACUGCUGAAGUGGUUUGCCGUGCCCUUCUCCAGUGGACCACGUUUUGUCAGAACCCUCCACCAUGACCUACCUGUCUGUCCAUAUUGGGUGGCCCUACAUAGCAUGGCUCAUAGUUUCUUUGAGCUAAACAAGGCUGUGGCCCAUGUGGUCAGAUUGGUUAGUUUUUUGUGAUUGUGAUUUUUCAGCCCUCUCUGAUGGAGGAUAAGAGGCUUAUGGAAGGUCUUGAUGGGAGACUGACUGGGGAAAACUGGGUCUUGUUCUGAUGGGCAGGGCCAUGCUCAGUAAAUCUUUAAUCCCAUUUUCUCUUGAUGGGUGGUGCUGUGUUCCCUCCCUGUUGUUUGACCUGAGCCCAAACUAUGGUGGAGGUAAUGAAAAUACUGGCAAGCUCCUUCAAAAGGUCCCAUGAUGCACUGCUGCAGUCAGCGGCCCCCACCCUGCAGCAGGCCACCGCGGCCCCACACCUCUGCGGGAGCUGAUCCUCCCUACGGGUCUCUGCACAGACGGCCCUGAGGGGCAGGAGGGAAGCUGGGCCCGGGCCGCCAGCCGGAGCCCUGCCCAGGUGUGCUCCAGAGCAGCGGGCCUUUCGGGGUGACCGGCAUGAGCGAUGCCAUGGGGUGCAGUUUAGUGGCAGAAACCCCAGGACCGCAAGGAGAUGCGCACCGUCCACCAGGGUGGACGUCCAGUUUCCUCCAAGAAAGGACGCUCGUCCAGCCUUCACCGACACCUGACGCGUACCUCCCCAGGAUUAUCCGUUACCGUCGAAGGGAAGCACUGCAUCUCCCGCUUCCACCCUCCCGGCCCUGCCCCUGGGAGGUUUAUGACGAUGAAGACUACAGGAGAGUUCGAUUUGUGGGUCGUCAGAAAGAGGUGAACGAGAACUUCGCCAUUGAUCUGAUAGCGGAGCAGCCCGACAAGGAAACGAAGACGGGCACGUGCGGCUACUGCGGCCUGCAGUUCCGGCAGCAGCACCACUAGGGCGGCCGCGUGGCCAGAGCCGGCCGCCUGCUGCCUCACCCUGGGGAGCGUGGCGAGCGCGGGAGAAGUGGCGGGGCCGUGGCGGGGCCGCUGGGGCUGGCUCAGCUCCGCCAGGCAUUCUGGCCCACCCGCUGCUCGGCCGCCUGGUCUGAAAUCCCACAAAAUUAAGUACUGUUUGAAGGUGUUAACAGUCACGUGUGGACUGAUUUAAGUACUCUGUGUGUAUUUAAGAGGGUAAUGGUUAUGAUGUAUUGUUCCACAAAAAUAAAAUCAGAAGGGGAGAGGACAGAGGUGUGGUGGGUGAUGACGGGACCUGGAGGAGAAGGGGGGAGGGACGGGGGGGAGGGGGGGUACCUGCGCUGAGGGAGCACU
ensembl:lincRNA